CUCAAAAAAAAAAAAAAAUGGAGAUGAUGUUUGACCUUCCUAGCUGCUGAAAUAAAUGAGGCAAGGAUAGGAGCUCAUCAGGGUUCUGCAGACCUGCUGGUAAAGGAUAACCAGUUUGAGGAAGACAAGAUGCACAAUGGAAGCUGAUUUAAGUUGCACUUGGCAUUUAGGCAGGAGUUUAACAGCAAAGU